rnacentral:rRNA from 1 species
CAGUCGCCGCGGUAAAACGGAGGGUGCAAGCGUUAAUCGGAAUUACUGGGCGUAAAGCGCACGCAGGCGGUCUGACAAGUCAGAUGUGAAAUCCCCGGGCUUAACCUGGGAACUGCAUUUGAAACUGUCAGGCUGGAGUCUUGUAGAGGGGGGUGGAAUUCCAGGUGUAGCGGUGAAAUGCGUAGAGAUCUGGAGGAAUACCGGUGGCGAAGGCGGCCCCCUGGACAAAGACUGACGCUCAGGUGCGAAAGCGUGGGGAGCAAACAGGAUUAGAGACCCGGGUAGUCCCUGUCUCUUAUAC